CUCAAGCAGAGAAGAUCAAUGGCUGAUGCCAGUUUGGUUGCCAGGCCCACCCCAUCUGGACCAGUACCAUAAGUCACAAGGAGAGAAGGAAAAAGAAGUUCGGUGUGGGAAGGAGAGAAAAUGAUGACACACUGAAGAUCAAGGGAGAAUUUGCGAUGAAGCAGGCAGCCAAGGAAAAUGAGGUUCUGCAGGGGACUUCUGUGAUGAGGAGCUGAGGGAUUCCUUCCUCUGGCGAGCAGUGCGGUGGCCGUCUUCUCUCUCUGUCACUUGUGUGACAUUCUGUUUUAUUUUCCAAGUUUCUACAUAAGCAAG